rnacentral:rRNA from 1 species
AUACGUAGGGGGCAAGCGUUGUCCGGAAUUAUUGGGCGUAAAGCGCGCGCAGGCGGCCUGCUAAGUCUGAUGUGAAAGCCCACGGCUCAACCGUGGAGGGCCAUUGGAAACUGGUAGGCUUGAGUGAAGGAGAGGAGAGCGGAAUUCCCGGUGUAGCGGUGAAAUGCGUAGAGAUCGGGAGGAACACCUGUGGCGAAGGCGGCUCUCUGGCCUGUAACUGACGCUGAGGCGCGAAAGCGUGGGGAGCAAACAGGAUUAGAUACCCUGGUAGUCCACGCCGUAAACGAUGAGCGCUAAGUGUCGGGGGUGACCAACCCUCGGUGCUGUCGCUAACGCAAUAAGCACUCCGCCUGGGGAGUACGGCCGCAAGGCUGAA